GGGAAUGUGGCCUAGUGGUAAUGUGCUUGCCUGGCAUGCAUGAAGCCCUGGGUUCGAUUCCUCAGUACCA
rnacentral:tRNA from 1 species